rnacentral:rRNA from 1 species
UACGUAGGGCGCAAGCGUUGUCCGGAAUUAUUGGGCGUAAAGAGCUCGUAGGUGGCUUGUCGCGUCUGCCGUGAAAGCCCGUGGCUUAACUACGGGUCUGCGGUGGAUACGGGCAGGCUAGAGGCUGGUAGGGGCAAGCGGAAUUCCUGGUGUAGCGGUGAAAUGCGCAGAUAUCAGGAGGAACACCGGUGGCGAAGGCGGGUCUCUGGGCCGAUAUUGACGCUGAGGAGCGAAAGCGUGGGGAGCGAACAGG